AAGUCGUAACAAGGUAUCCGUAGGUGAACCUGCGGAUGGAUCAUUAAACAUAUCUACGUAUCAACCAAUCGUGAACUCUCGUUUUUUUCCAAACCGAGUCUCUUUGUGGAUGUAUAUGAGUGGGUUUGUUGUGUUUUAGUAGCUUUACCGGACUUUGGUCGUGUGAAAGCCUUUCUCUCGGGAGAGGUUAGUAGUGGACUUUUAAGGGGGUUUAGCGAAAGAAUGUGAUGAACUUUGCAAGUGUACAUGUGCAAAUCGAUGGCAUGGUGAGGAAAACUUAUUAACCCAUUGUAUUAUCAUCCCCAGUUAUUUUCAUUCUUUGUCGCGGCCUAACGGCGGACUUUCUAGUAAGAAAUUUUUGUACAACUCUUAACGAUGGAUAUCUAGGCUCUC
rnacentral:misc_RNA from 1 species